rnacentral:rRNA from 1 species
CAGCAGCCGCGGGAAUACGUAGGGUGCGAGCGUUAAUCGGAAUUACUGGGCGUAAAGCGUGCGCAGGCGGUUUUGUAAGACAGGCGUGAAAUCCCCGGGCUCAACCUGGGAAUGGCGCUUGUGACUGCAAAGCUAGAGUGCGGCAGAGGGGGAUGGAAUUCCGCGUGUAGCAGUGAAAUGCGUAGAUAUGCGGAGGAACACCGAUGGCGAAGGCAAUCCCCUGGGCCUGCACUGACGCUCAUGCACGAAAGCGUGGGGAGCAAACAGGAUUAGAUACCCCCGUAGUCCCUGUCUCUUAUAA